rnacentral:lncRNA from 1 species
GUGUUUUUAUGCCCCACCUACGAUAGUAGAGGGGCAUUAUGUUUUCUGGUCUGUGCGUCCGUUCGUUCGUCCGUCCGUUCGUUCGUCUGUCCGUCCGUCCGUUCGUUCGUUCGUCCGUCUGUCCCGCUUCAGGUUAAAGUUUUUGGUCGAGGUAGUUUUUAUGCCCCACCUACGAUAGUAGAGGGGCAUUAUGUUUUCUGGUCUGUGCGUCCGUUCGUUCGUCCGUCCGUUCGUCCGUCCGUUCGUUCGUUCGUUCGUCCGUCUGUCCCGCUUCAGGUUAAAGUUUUUGGUUGAGGUAGUUUUUGAUGAAGUUGAAGUCCAAUCGACUUCAAACUUGGUACACAUGUUCCCUAUGAUAUGAUCUUUCUAAUUUUAAUGCCAAAUUAGAGAUUUUACCCCAAUUUCACGGUCCACUGAACAUAGAAAAUGAUAGUGCGAGUGGGGCAUUCGUGUACUGAGGACACAUUCUUGUUUCUUACUAAA